UGAAGCAGUAAAUGCACCGCGUGAUGAGCUUCACCUGUGGAGUUUGUGUUUGGCGCAGAAACACCGAAUGUGACUUCGGAAUGAAUACAGGAAACUGAGAUUUGAAGAAUUUUGUUUUUAUUUAUCUAAGAAAUAUAACUAAUGUUAAAAUGGACACAAGGUGAAGCGGUUUGGGACAAAAGAUGAUGAGCCGUUUCCAGAAGUUUUGAAGGCCAGUCACAACAAAUCUGGAUUAAUUCUGCACUAAAGAUGUCGAGAGUUAUCCACUGCAGAUCACAAGAACAAGAUGUACCGAGAGAACUUCCUGUGACUGAACCUGAAGAGACUGGCUGUCCAGGACACACAGCCUCCAUCAAGGAGUUGAUGUCGAGACCUGUGACAGCUGGAGCCGGAGACAUAACCUUCGAACACAAGUGUUUUCACCAAACACACUUCAGGGAAAGUACAGUGCUGUGCUGUAAGGCGCUAGCUUAUUUCUUUAUAUUCUGUUUCUAGGAAGGAGUCAGGCUUUUUUGGGUGUUUAAGUUGGCUUCUUACUUUACUUUGGUUGUUUUUCACUAAUCUCCAGCCCAAUUCCUGACAAUUUUCAGUAGAAUCCCUUGUCGUUUAAGCCACACAUCCCAUUGGCUUGUGAAAACAUGCAUAUUUUAUCAACCUCUAAAUCUAAGCCAUUGCACAAAGUUGUGUUCAUCUCUUGGAAGCGCAGUAUAAACCACCUAUUGUCUGGUUUACAGCUGUAUAGUCUUCUAAUGAUAUGCAAAUAUAUAAAUUUGUGACGCAAAGGGAUGAAAGAUUAAUCAGUUACUGGGUUAAUAAUGAUGAACUUCUGACCUUUUAAAAGAAGCGUAGUUUGGUUGAGGUUAAUUUAGGAUCAAAUCAGUAAAAUGCCUAAUUAAUAAACUUGGUAAUUUGCAUUUUAAUUGAAAAGUUGUAUCUCACAUCGACAUGUCACCAACAUAUCAUAUGCGCGGUCGCUUAUUACGUCAAUAUGACUGAUAGAUUUAUGCAACAAGUGGCAUUUAUUGUCAAUCUGAUCUUCUUUAUUAACAUAUGCAGCUGAUCCAUCCAAAUUACCGAUAUCUAAAACAUGUGCUUAUGAGUUGACUUUUUAAGCCUUUGAAUAUACUUUCCAUUCUUCCGAUUGUUCUUUUUUUCCUCUCAGUCUCGUUUUAUUGAUUUCUGUUCCAUUUCCUCCCAAAUAUCCAUUGAACUUGGUAAAAUAUGAUGAACGUCACGUCAUAUUUCACAGGCCAUGAAAUCUUGCAUAUUUCAUGGCCUGUAUCAUCAGCUGCAGUCUUUGCGGUCCUCAUCGAAAGCUGCAGUGAGAUUAAUGAGAUUUAAUCUUUUACCUCAUUGCCAAUGCUUUAUCUCAUGAGGUCAUUCACUGGUGCGUCAGCCCUCCUCCGCCUCCCUACCCUCACCGUACCUAUGUUGCAAAAUUAAACUUGAAUUAGAUCAUUAGCAUACAAAGCAGGAAACCCACUGCCGUGGAGUCAUACAUAUUUAUCUGGAUGUGCCUGACUUGUGCAUGCACACCCUCAUACUGUAACCCCUUUUGCAUGCAAACAUCCCUGUUUCUCUUGCGCAGGAGACAAGCGAGCACAGACUAUAAAAUGGAUAUUAAUUAGAGUAGGUUGGUUUUUAAGAAGCAUAAAUCUAACUGCGAACCGUCUGAGUAAAUACAAGGAUUUCAUCCAAACGAGCUUUUGGAAACAUGGCAGGUUGACUGCAAAAUGUGUGCAUUUGGAACCAGAGCAGAUGGAUUUUGAUUAGGAUCGUUUGGGCAGGUUGCUUUCAACGCAUCAAAUAUUGCUUACACACAGAGGAAACGCGAAACGCCUGCAGUCCAAACUCAUCUGCUGCACAUUAACAAACAGAAAAAGACAAACAGGGAACACGGCCUUCUGAAUAAUCAUGCGUUGCCUCAUGAAUGACUCCUUUUCUCUCUCUCCUUUCCCCCCUGUCCUUUCCACUAGAAAUUAACUUUCUCCUUAACCACUCUCCAUGCUUCCCGGGGAUCACUUUCCAGCCUUCUUCUUCCUUCCAGCUGGGAGAACAACUCCCUCCUUUUGCAGCUAUGUGGACUCCUCCAUUAGUAUUCCUUCCUCCUUCCCUCUUUCCCCUCCCUCCUGUGAGAUUGCUGUUGUGUCUUAUGGCUUUUUAUUCCUACGUGAUGGUAGAUGGGUUCAUGUAGGAGUAGAAGCCACUAAACACGCGGUGAGUGCUCGACAUGCUGGCCAACACAUGCAGAGAGCUUCCUGUGGCUAUGACAGCUGCCAUGUUCACAUCAAUGUCCUGCCCAUUAUCCCGAAUGCACACAGGGUUUAAAUAUAGUUCGGGGACCUCACUGAGGAGCGGGGCUGUUUUUAGAUCGGAGUUGCAGUCUGGUCCAAAUUGGAGCGAAAACUAUAGAUUUGAAUUAUUUUCGGAAAAAUCCACAGCUGAAAAAUCAAUUCUCGGUGCAGAAUUGUCUUAACCGACCUACUUUCCCCAGCUGCAUGCUGGUUGCUUGUGUCUCCAAUUCAAUAUUAAUUUCUUCACUUCCCUGCCCUGCGGUCCUCGAUCAGAACUGCAGCUUGAAAGAUCUUAAAACCACUUUCGAAAUAAAAUGACUCUCAGGUAGGUCACUCAAUAAUGUCUGAAUAUAUUUGCCGUUUCCCUGUUAAGUUGUGCAGAAAAGGUUCAUAGCCCUCUUUAACAGCACUAAAAGGUUUUCACACUGUUUGUAGCGCAACAUAUUACAGUCCAUCCUUUAAGUUCUGGAAAGUAACCGUUCCAUCACACACUUUUCCAUUAUUUACCAGGUAUUUAUUGGUUUCUAAGAUACUUCUGAGUCGUAGCUUAUCUGGUAUUUUUCUUGAACUUAGAAGUUACUUUGCUGAAUUUACCAGGUAUAAACAUGUAACUUUCAUGGAGUCUAAUAAUAGUUUCAAAAAUGUUCUCCAAAAACACUUGGUAAGCUCCAGACAGUGUGGAAAGUAACAAGUUCUGCAAAAGUACAUCCUGUUAUAUAAUAGAGCCACCAAAUUGUGAAACUAUUAUUUCAAACUUUUUUGCUCCUCUAUAAAGUAUCUGUUCCAUACCUCUGUAGUUUUAGAGCUGUUCAAGAGAACAUUGUGAUUUUUUUUUUCAUUGUAUCACUUUUGCAUGGUUGACUGUGGACUCUAUAUAACGUAUUUUUAAUACGUCUGUAAUGCUAUUUGUAUGUUUUACCCAGAAUACGUUGAAAGGGACUUCAGAUAGUGUUUCUAGUGGUUACAGUGUAUAGUCUCUCUUUAAAAGGAAAAUUAUUAAAAAGGAUCUUGCAUGUAACGCAAAGUUUGAUUAGUUUUAAAUCACUCAGAUCCACUAAAAUCUUCCUUUCUCUCUAAAAAUCUGAGCUCUUACAUCUCUGAUUGUCACUGAAUGUACCUUUUUAAUCAAAUCUUUUUUUGUUACUGUCUCAAAGCUGAGUGAUUGAAAACGUGCAAAAUCACCAUUUAAACUGUAAUGUAGAAAAGUGGUUUCAUUGAUCCUAUAUGUUUGGCCAUGUUAAAGUGUUGUGGCUAAAAUACAUUCGAGUCUGAGUGGACAAGACAACAGAAAAACUGCAUUGUAUUUCUUCACAAACCAAAAAUGAGGAUUGCAAAAGCUCUUGUGACCGAGAUGCUUGUACCUUUAAUGAUGACAACACAGAUGCAACAAAAGAGCUGUUUUUAAAAUGCGCUGGCUGACUCAUUGUGAAUCACCUUGGCGCAGAAGUUGAACAGGGAGUUCCUUGAAAAAGCUCCAGUCUGAAGAGACCAGCAGGAGGCCAACUCGGUCUGUUUUGUUAGAUCUGAAGGGACCACAGUCUGAAGUAGCAGAUUUUAUUGUAAUUCACAGUAGUUUUCUUAGCGUUUGACAUUUCACUCAAAAUAGUAGGAGUUGUAACCUUGAAGCACCAGAUUUUGAAUGUUUUUCCAACCAGCUUUCCUGAUAAGUUUCUCAAUCCCUUUAAAACUUCAAGGCAGGAAACUUUGAAUCAACUCGUAGCAACCCCCUUCAUUUUCCUCCUAAAUUAUGUACAAAUCCUGGCACCCUAAUAAUGGCGCGGCAGUAACUUUCGCCUGGGCUGAACUUGGUGUCAACUAAUUAAGCAAGAAACUCAAAUUAUCCUGCUGGUGGGUUCAUUCGUGUGCUGCAGGGUUUGGGUUUAAAUGUCAACUCCCUGUUUGUGUUCGCCGCGAAAUACGCUGCCAGCCUGCGCUCCUCGCACACAAGCUGAAUAAAGUCUAAACAGGCAGAAACCAAGAGCUGAAUUAUUAAUCCCUGGAUAUUACAAGAAGCUGACACAUGUUUGCAGUUGUGGGACAUUACUUCUUCGCUCAUUUUAGAUGCAUGAUAAUUUGAGAUGAAAACUAGAUAAGUUCUGCCGAAGUUUAAUGAUUUCUUUUUAAGCUGUAAGAUGUUGUGAUCUAAAAUUCAGAGGGGAGGCUUGACAAGUUUCUGUUGCCUGCAUUAUCUGUUUAAUUUAUUUUUCAGGUUCCCACUCCCACAUAGGGCUUUUUAUUCUUUUCUUUUUUUCCCCCCGCUUUAUUGAGUCGUGAGGUGGUCUGAGAGAAUAUUUGAACAGAAGGAAGACAUUAAAGAAGGCAGAGGAAGGCUUCGAUUUUUAACCCUGUGGGGGUCCAUGGGAAUCUAAAGGUGGGAAUCAACAGUGAUGAAGUCUAUGGGAAAGAUCCUGCAUUAUUUACAGCAGCACAGGCUCAUAAAGGGGAAGCUGUGUUUGAAUAGAUCGCUCCUGUCUUUUCGUCUCGCCCAAGGGUUCGCUUCACAGUUAUGAUCCAACCAGACUGCAAACCUCACAUUCAAAUGUCAAAAUAAGACAGGCAGCACUUGGGCUCAUUUUAAUAUUGACAGCUGUUCUUUUUUUUUUUUUUUUUUUCCAAAUUACGGCUUUCGCGACUCCACGACUCAUGAUCAGAUUCCGCAAGGUUGCCGAUUCCUCAAGUUCAGGUGGAAACCAUCAACUCUGGUGUAAUGGGAUUUUCCUCUGACAGAUGCAAUAAUGCAGUGUGUUUGUGUACAGUAGGUUUAAUGUACGAGUGGUGUUCUACUUUAUCUCCACCCUGCUUCAGGCUCUGCUUUGAUUUUUCUGUAAUAAAUAAUGCUCUUUUGUCUUCUGUGCUGCAUUUGUUCCCAGUUGUAAUCUCUCUACUGCUCAAUAAAUUAUGAAUAAUGCCAGUUCAA